UACUUCAAGUUUGAUCAUGGCUCAGAUUGACGCUGGCGGCAGGCCUAACACAUGCAAGUCGAGCGGAUGACGGGAGCUUGCUCCUUGAUUCAGCGGCGGACGGGUGAGUAAUGCCUAGGAAUCUGCCUGGUAGUGGGGGACAACGUUUCGAAAGGAACGCUAAUACCGCAUACGUCCUACGGGAGAAAGCAGGGGACCUUCGGGCCUUGCGCUAUCUAGAUAGAGCCUAGGUACGGAUUAGCUAGUUGGUGAGGUAAUAGGCUCACCAAGGCGACGAUCCGUAACUAGGUACUGAGAGGAUGAUCAGUCACACUGGAACUGAGACACGGUCCAGACUCCUACGGGAGGCAGCAGUGGAGAAUAUUGGACAAUGGGCGAAAGCCUGAUCCAGCCAUNGCCGCGUAGUAGUAGAAGAAGGUCUUCGGAUUGUAAAGCACUUUAAGUUGGGAGGAAGGGCAGUAAGUUAGUACCUUGCUGUUUUGACGUUUACCGACAGAAUAAGCACCGGCUAACCACUGUGCCAAGCAAGCCGCNGUAAUACCGAAGGGUAGCACAAGC
rnacentral:rRNA from 1 species